UAAUACGUAGGGAGCAAGCGUUGUUCGGAAUUAUUGGGCGUAAAGAGCGCGUAGGCGGUUUGGUGAGUCUGAUGUGAAAUCCUAGGGCUUAACCCUGGAACUGCAUUGGAUACUGCCAGGCUUGAGUGCGGGAGAGGAGAGUGGAAUUCCCAGUGUAGGGGUGAAAUCCGUAGAUAUUGGGAAGAACACCGGUGGCGAAGGCGGCUCUCUGGACCGCAACUGACGCUGAGGCGCGAAAGCUAGGGGAGCAAACGGGAUUAGAUACCCCGGUAGUCCUAGCCGUAAACGAUGGGCACUAGGUGUGGGAGGCAUCAACCCCUUCUGUGCCGCAGCUAACGCAUUAAGUGCCCCGCCUGGGGAGUACGGUCGCAAGACUAAAACUCAAAGGAAUUGACGG
rnacentral:rRNA from 1 species